rnacentral:lncRNA from 1 species
CGGUGGUGUCGAUGGAUGAUGCAGCAUCAGAGGGCCAUGUGGUGCACUUCGACCUUCAAGUGUCCGUCAAUGAAUCAACCCAGGUUAAUCUGUAUUGGCCAAGCGACUGUGCCAGGCGACUCUCUUCCGACUGAUCGGGAGCAUCGAAGGAAAUGAUCGGUGGUCGAGAUAUUUUUAUCCUUUUAUCUGACAAUCAUCGGGGUAAUUCUCUUUGAUAAACUUUCUUUCUUUUUUUUUAACCUGAAUUAUCCUCUGUUUACAGUUGAUCCACGACAUGUCUGAUCUAGAGGCCGGCUAUAUGAAGUUCAUCGACAUCCGUAGUGCAUGAAAGAAUAAGGUAGCAGCCGUUGAUGCUGUGAAAGCGACUGCACUUGAACAACUUAAGUUGGCGGC